rnacentral:rRNA from 1 species
AUGCCCAACUGCGACAUCACCUGCGGCAGCAUGAGCGUGCCAUACCCAUUCGGCAUGGGCCCAGCCAGGUGCUAUUGGCCGGGCUUCAACCUCACGUGCGACCGCAGAAGCAACCCGCCGCGGUUGCUGCUCGGCGACGGCACCCUCCAAGUCCAAGAACUCUCCAUGAGUAACUGGUCGACAUUUGUGACCGUCAUACGUACGGGUGACAUAAAAGUCGACGGCAAUGGUGAAGGCAAGCUCGGCGGUGGUCUUACGGCCGAUGGGCCCUUCACGAUUUCAUCCAACCAGCUCAUCCUGGUUGGUUGCAACAUCCAGGCGACGCUCAAGAACGGCGACGUGACCGUGAGCAGCUGUUCUUCUGUGUGUGAAAACGGCGAUGGACUCUCGGAGGCGCUAUCCAUACUCGAAGCGGGCAACCAAUGUACCGGCAAUGGCUGCUGCCAGUCGGACAUUGUCUUCAACCCUGCAGAGGUAGCAGGAAGGCUUUUCAACAGUACGUCCUAUGACGUGCAGCUCAAAUGGUUCGGCUGGAACCGCAGCACGGACCAGCAAUGGCCCGCACACGUCUUUAUCGCGAGGUCCAGAUGGUUCAGCGGUACAUCAGUCUUCCGCAAGCUGUUACGAACAGACGCCCCCGUGUCAGCGGAUGCAAUGCAAGUUCCCUUUCGGCUGGACUGGGAGGUUGUUGGCCAUGGCGCAGAAGGCUCCAACAUAUGCAAAAGCAAGCACAGCGACUACCUAAAGGGCAAGAAAGGCUACACAUGCUCCUGCAAUCACGGCUACGAAGGGAAUCCCUACAUCACCGACGGAUGCAAAGAUAUCGACGAGUGCAACAAUGAAGGGUCUGCUAAGUGCUAUGGUCAUUGCACCAAUUUGGAUGGAUCAUAUUAUUGCCGGUGUCCCCCCGGAACCGAUGGCGAUGCUACCCUCCAAGGUGGCUGCCGCACUCCCAUCACAAGUGACUGCAUUACGUCCUGCGGCGACAUUGAUGUACCGUACCCCUUUGGCAUUGGAUCUGCCAAUUGUUACUGGCCAGGGUUCAACCUCACCUGUGAUACUUUCCUACAACCAGCAAAGCUACUCAUCGUCCUACGUGACCUCGUCCUCGACAAGGACGUCAUGUUCCACGUCACCGAGAUAUCCCUCCAGACCAACACGGUGCACAUCCUUCAUAGCAAUGCCAUCAACCAUAUCAACCCUAGCGACUCAAAAAGUAUUUUAAUGUUUGGCAACUACUCGGAGGCGCCCUACUCGUUAUCGACCAGCAACUUGUUGAUCCUAUCUGGUUGCAACCUUCAGGCGACGCUGCUGAUCGGAAAUGGUACCGAGGAUUUCAUCAGCGGUUGUGCUUCCUUCUGCCCCUCCAAUGUAAAUGACACCUACCUCGAGAUGACACUACAGGGUACAGGCAGAAACUGCUAUGGCAUGGGCUGCUGCCAGGCACAUAUUUCCAUGUCCUCCAACGGCUUCCCCACGUCGUUGGCGUAUCAAAAGCUCAACAAGAACAGUGACCAGGAAUUGACAACCCAGCCUGCGUACAUGCUAAUCGCAGAGGAGGGGUGGUUUGAUCAGGGACGUUUAUCCAAGGAGAUGGUGGGGCGGGAGGAAUCCGAAACUUCCAAGGUGCAGGUUCCUCAAGUUCUGCAGUGGGAGGUAAUACAGGACUUACCACGACCAGUUGACAUGAAGGCGCAUCCGGGCUGUCCAUCGGAGGUAGCCCUCAAGCUCUGCAAGAGCAAGAAUAGCUACUGCAAACGAGGGAGCAGAGGUUAUUUAUGCCAUUGCAUGGAUGGCUAUGACAAGCGCGGCAGCAACCCCUACCUCGCCAAUGGAUGCAAAGGUGGCCGCAAGCCAUUGUCUACAGGUAUAUACCUCAGCAUAGGAGUUGCUUUUGGGGCAGGCAUCAUACUAUCUGUUCUCGCUGGAUCCUUUGCACAUAAGAAAUUCAAACAUCGAAGAUCACUAAUGUUGAAAAAGAACUUUGAAAAAAACCGAGGGCAAUUGUUGCAACAAUUGGUAUCACAAAGAGCUGAUAUUGCAGAAAGAAUGAUUAUAACCUUAGAUGAGCUUGAGAAGGCAACAAAUAAAUUUGAUAAAGCUCGUGAGCUUGGUGGAGGAGGGCAUGGUACAGUCUACAAAGGCAUGCUAUCAGAUCUUCAUGUUGUAGCCAUCAAGAAACCAAAGGUGGCGAUUCAAAAGGAGAUUGAUGAAUUCAUUAAUGAGGUUGCUAUCCUAUCACAGAUCAAUCAUAGAAAUGUGGUAAAACUAUAUGGUUGUUGCCUUGAAACAGAGGUCCCCAUGUUGGUCUACGAGUUUAUAUCUAAUGGUACACUUUAUGAUCAUCUUCAUGUUGAUGGACCACGAUCGUUGUCAUGGAAUGAUAGGCUACGGAUAGCAACUGAGACUGCCAGAUCUUUAGCCUAUCUUCACUCAACAGCUUCAGUACCCAUAAUCCAUAGAGAUAUCAAGUCUGUUAACAUACUUUUGGAUGAUAGUCUAACAGCAAAGGUUGCAGACUUUGGAGCUUCAAGAUAUGUUCCGGUGGAUAGAUCAGGGAUCACAACAAGAGUGCAAGGUACAAGAGGAUAUCUGGACCCCAUGUGUUUCUAUACUGGGCGUCUCACAGAAAAAAGUGAUGUGUAUAGCUUUGGUGUCCUGCUUCUGGAGUUGUUGACUAGAAAGAAACCGUUUUCAUACAUCUCUUCUGAAGAUGAAGGCCUUGUCACACAUUUUUCUACCUUAUUCACACAAAGAAAAUUAUCAGAGAUACUAGAUCCACAAGUUCUGGAAGAGGGCGGCAGAGAGAUGGAAGAAGUCGCAGCAAUUGCAGCAAUGUGUAUUAGAUUAAGAGGGCGCCCGUCCAUGAAGCAAGUGGAGAUCAAACUUGAAGGCACUCAAGCAUCCAGGGGACAUGAGGGGGGUGAUGUAAUAAGCUGUCAACGGGCUGCAGAUGGAAGUAGGUGCGAGGAAUUGUCCAGGCAGCAUAGUAUGGAAGAAGAGUUCAUGUUAUCUUCAAGGUAUCCUCGGUAG